UUUAUUUAUAUUGUUUUUUAAUAUUUUUUACUUUAAACAGUGCUAAGAGAGCAACCGUCGUCAACAAUAUCUUCACUAUAUGUUCACUUCCAUUAGUACAAGGGCUUUGCUAUGGUUACUUUGAAAGGUCAACUGGAAGUAGAAGAAAUGUAACUUGCAAGAUUUGAUUACAGACAACGGGACAGGUGGAGGAACUACUUAAAUAAAAGCUUUCAAUAUUAGUAAGAU